GCGGAAGCGUGGGGCGGGCUGCGCGUCCCGCCUGCCCUGCUCCGCCCCUAGCCGGCCCGGCCCCGGCCUCUCCGGAGCCUCGAGGCGUCGUUCCCCACCUCCGCCUGGGCGGAUAGGUCGGUGCGGUGGGCGGAGACCCGGCCAGAGCCUGGCAUUUCUUGGGCACUCACCUUCAAGCGCCGAUCGUGUGCUGGACCCCGAGAGGCGUGCAGGGCCUGGGCCCGGAGUGCUCACCGAGCCUACUGUGUGCACCGACUGUGGGCCAGCUCAGUGCUGUGCGCCCCGCGGCGGGUGAGAAACCUCCAGCCUCGUCCCCAUCCGCCCAGGAGCUCGGGUUCUUCCAGGAGGGGACACUAAGCUGAUGAAAAUGACAGGAGGGAUGUGUGGAACGUGUAAUGUGUAACAACUGCCAGGCGCUGGGCCCAGAGCUAGAAGAGCAACAUUCUGUUUAAUGACGUGACCUCUUCGGAGAGGCUCCUCCUUGGUUGCCCUCUCUUCCAGUCACUGUGACAUCAUCGUGUUUUGUCUUCGCAAGCUUGUUAUGGCCGGUGAACUUUUGGUUCCUGUCUCCCCCGACACAAACAAGCUCCCGAGGGCAAAAACCUUGCUUUGUUUCCGGAAAACACUUCCAGCCCCGUGCCCUAACUGGAUCAUCAUUUGGCACACGGUAGAGGCAAUUAAGGCCUACAGCUGGUGGUCUGAUCAUACGUUCAGAGGAUAACAAUAUGCAAUGUAGCAUCCAUGGAGAGUCUCCUUCUGAAGUCAAAUUUAAAAAAAGGAAAAUGUCGGGCGCAGGCGCUCAACACACCCCGCCCGGGACGAUAAGACCACGUCAGCUUCCGCAAUGUGUUACGUCCCUCUCUAAAUUAGCCAACCCGUGCGCACCUCGUGCUCACUCCGUAUUCGCCCUGUGCCGACUCUGUGGCAACCCCUGAUUGGCCACAGCUGGGUAUAGUAGCCAGAGCCUGCGUCCCAUUCCCGCCCUGCUUUCUCGUGGCAGCCUGUGAUUGGUCACGGCCGAAUAUAUAAACCAGAGCCCGCGUAAAUAAAGCGGCAGUUCCUGUUACCACCUGAAGCGUCUCCUGUCUCAUUGGGGGGCUGUGCCGGUCAGAAAAAAAUAGGUAAGACACUUUGAAGAUAAAAGUGAUAUGGAGAGGAUGAAGAGAAUCAUCAAGAGGAUGUCACUGGUGUGGUGACACAAGCCUGUAAUCCCAGCACUGGGGAGGCGGAGGCAGGCGGAUCUCUGUGAGUCUGAGGCCAGCCUGAGCCCUGACCACCCUUCUCCAGCCCCUUGUAGGUAACCAUACCGGUCUCAUAUGUAGCCUGCUAACACGUUUAUUCAAAUACAGGCAAAAUGGAUACAUACUGUUACUGUCCUUCCUUUUUCUCAGAGAAGUUACAUGUAUUUUGCUCUUGGAUUGUUGUUAUUAUCUUGCCCUGGGACAUACAGUUUCUUCACCUUUUUUUUUUUUUUUUUAGAUAUAACUGACAUACCUGUGUCAUUCAAUGACUUUUAGUAUGCUUAUCACGGUUAUUUGAUUAGAGAACAUGUUCAUCACCUCUAAAAGAAAAUCCAUAACCAUGAGCAGCCACUCCCCACUUCCCUCUUCCCCCACACCCUGGCAACCACUCAUCCACUAUCUGCCUCUGUGCAUGUCCUUGCAGCGGACGUUUCCUGUCUGAAUCAUGUGUCUGGCUUCUUCCUCUGAGCAUAAUGAUUUCAAAGUUUAUUCCUGUUGAAGCAGAUACUGGGGCUUCAUCCCCUUACAUGGCCGAAUACUAUCCCACUGGAUGGAUGUGGGGUGUUUAUUCGUCUGGCUGAUGGACAUUUGGUUUGUUCCCACACUUUGGAAGCAUGGAUAACUGCGGUGGACAUUGGUGUACAUGUUUUGUGUGACAUACAUACAUACAUAGGAGUCAUUGCUGAGUCAAAUGUGGUCAGCUGGUUGAAAACCACUGUGCCGGGUGAUCUUUAUUGUCAACUUCGCUGGGCUAAGAGACUCCUGGAGAGGUGAUUGGUUUGUGAGGGCACUGACGUCAUCAGUGGGCUAAGCCAUUGCUGAGCUCCUAACGGAAUGGAUUUUAGGAAGCGGGCUUCCUUGGGGGAAGUGGGUCAUUGGUAUGUGAUCUUGAGGACUGUGGGGGGACUUGGCCUUUCCUCUCGGGGUUCUUUCCUUGCUCUUUGCUCUCUGGAUCCCCCAAGCUGAGUUGCUUUGCCCUUCCAUGCAUUUCCACUGUGAUGUUUUUGUCUUGGAGCCAGAUAGGUGACCAUGGACUGAAGCCUCUAACUGUGAGCCGAAACAGACUUCUCCUCCCUUAAACUGUAGCUGACAGGUGUUUGGUUUGGGCCACAGCGUGUUCUGUAGCAACUGUAUCAUUUCACAUUCCUGCCCACCUGUGUGAUUGUUGCUCGGGUUUGCUGUUUCCCACUGUGGGUUAUGGCUAGUCUAGGGGUGUGACCUGGUGUCUCACGGUGUGUGUAUGCGCGCGUGCAUGUGCCUGUGUGUGCGUGUGUCUUUCCAAGACAGGAUUUCCCUGUGCAAUUCAGGCUGGCCUUGAAUUUCUCUUUGUUGUCCAGGCUGGCCUGGAACUUACAGCAAUCCUCUUGCCUCAGCAUAUAUAUAUUUUUUAAUUUUAAUUUUAAAUAAAACAAAACAGUAAAAUGAAACAAAACAAUGAGAACCAUAUUGGAUUUAAAAGCCAGGCUGUAGGAAAUCAACCAUAGUUAGUAUAUUGCACAUUGUCAUCCUCCUGCAUAGUUGUCUGGACUACCAGAUACAGGUAUGCAAAGUUAAACAAUACAAGCCCUAAUUUGUCUCUUUACUUCCAUUGCUAUUGUUUCAGAAAUUUCAGGUGUGUGGCUUCCAGUUCCUUCAGUGUCUGUGUCUUCCGGACUUGUUCUGGGGGGCUGAGAUUGCACCCCGCUCCUGUCUUGACCUUCUGCCGUGUUCCUCUGAAUCAGCCGGGUGCUGAGUCCUGGAUGCCUCCUGCACUGGCUGCCCGACCGCAGCACAGAAGGCCUGCUCCUGGGUUCCGCUGACCCGAGGUUCCCAGCAGGGUGGGGAGGUGCGGGCGGGGCCUCCCCAGUGCUCCGGGUGGUGACAGGGCCUUGGGGCAUGGCCUCUCCUCCUCCAGCCCUAGUGGCUGGCUCACUGCGGGGCAUGACUUCUCUGAGCUCAACGUGGUGAGCUGCACCUUGUGUUUUGAUUUAUGUUUUCUUAGUGGCUAAUGAUGGAGAGAAUCUUUCUGUGUACUUAUUACCAUUAACAUAC
ensembl:lincRNA